rnacentral:rRNA from 1 species
UACAGGGGGGGCAAGCGUUGUUCGGAAUUACUGGGCGUAAAGGGCUCGUAGGCGGCCAACUAAGUCCGACGUGAAAUCCCAAAGCUUAACUUUGGAACUGCGUCGGAUACUGGAUGGCUUGAAUCCGGAAGAGGGAUGCGGAAUUCCAGGUGUAGCGGUGAAAUGCGUAGAUAUCUGGAGGAACACCGGUGGCGAAGGCGGCAUCCUGGGUCGGUAUUGACGCUGAGGCACGAAGGCCAGGGGAGCAAACGGG